AAAAAUUGUUAACUCAAAAAAUAAGUUUACAUUGAUUUUUAAACACAAAAAUGGAAGUUUACUGUAGUGGAGCUACAGUAAAUCAAAGUGGACACUCAAGAGACUAUGUUUCGAAUCUACGGAGCAGCACAUUUCAAUUUCCCAAUCAACGAUAAUAUAAACAUUGUAUCUAACCUUACAUCAUCUUCUUCCUCUGCUUUAUGUUCAAAAACCUUGAAGAUCAGAUCCGUUGCAAAUGUCCCAACUAAAUCGAUCUCAGGUCUCUUUCUCUCUCUCUUCGCUCUCUUCUCUCUUGCUCUCUGUUUCACAUAGAGCUUGCGGUUUUUUUUUUUUUUGAACAACAUAACUACUUUUUUUUAUAUAUAAAUAUUGUUGAUGGUUCUUUGUAGAUCUGUUCUAGAUCCAUUGUAAAUUUUUUUUUUAUAUUUUUUAAAGAACAUAUAUUAUGCUGGUCA